GUCUGUCUUUGGUGGCGGCCGGGCGCGUACACACACACAGGCCCGGGGACUCUACACAGGACCACCACCGGUUGGAACGCAGGCCCGGCUGGAACGCCCGGCAACACGGAUGCGGGGGCUCAGAUCGCCGGGGUACAGGGUUUGAAGACUUAAAACCCCUUUUUCUUUAAAGCCUCUUCUAAGAGUCGCCCAUCAUACUGAGGGUCCCGUGACCUGAAGCCUGCAUCCCGAGGAUCGCGGGAUCGCUGACGGGAUCUGGGGUCAGCACGUGGAUCCCUAGACCUCAAAUCGUCAUAAUAGUGGGGAUCUCGGGAAUGUGGCAAGUCCCCAGGAUCGUCGGGGUCAUAGAGGUCAUCCCGGCUGCGACUUCUCGGAGGUGCAUAGGCCCGUCCUCUCCGUCCACUACUUGGGGGAGAAGACCGUCCUGAUUCAGUGGAGCCAGGCCGGUUGAUGUCAUCUAGAGCAUCCACAGAGCGGGCCCGAGGCCGCCCGGACCCCCAACCACCCCUUGGCUGUUCUUGAAGGGGAUCCUGCUCCCAUGUUCUGGGACUCCGAGGGGAGUGGUGAUUCCACUCCUCAUCCCUGAUGGGUGUGAGGGCAGGAGCCCUGGAAGGCCGAGAUCGCCAGUCAUCUUCAUGGAGGGAGGUUACUUCACUCAUGGCUGUAGAGAAGGGAGAUAUCACUGGUACUAAGACAGGUCCAAUCUUGUCACCCAUACACUCACACCCUCCCCUGGGAGCACCACAGGCAAGUAUGCUUCAUCCCCUUUAGACUCAGGUCUGCAGCUCACCCCGUUCCACUCGGCCAUUGGGAAGGCCAGGCCGGGAAGGAUCAAAGUUGGCUAGCUCCUUCUCCAUAUAGUAUAGGACCCUCAUGGAGUCAUCUUGCUGGUUAGCCUGGAUCCUGUAGCCACUUCGUACUUCUGAGGAGAGGAACAAGGUGAUUAGUUUGAGAGGGGAUGUGCAUGUGAAUCAACCCUCCAGGCAUGACCCCUUCAAAAUCACAGCAUCUUACCUGAAGAUACACUGCCAUCCACUUCCCGCAGCAGGGGAACCUGGGAGCUGUGGCCACCAACUAAUAGAGACUGGUUAUCAGUGACGAUUGCUAUUUGGAGCAGAGUUGGGCACUCCCAAUCUCCCAUGCUCCCUUCCAGCCCAAUCCCACCUCUUGUCUGGAUUCCCCAAGGCCUCACCUGAGCUAGUCCUGUCAAAGUCUCCAGGGUACCCAUAGGGAGGAUGCAUGGGAAUCAUGGCAGGCGGAGGUGGUGGGGUCUUGGCAGGAGAGAGGUGGGUAUAGAUGCUGGGGGCAUAGAUGCUUGGCACACCUGAGGUGGCUGCUUUGCCAGCAGCAUAAACUGGGAAGGCAGAAUGGCAUGAGCAUGAUCAGACGCUGUGCGGCCCCAUGCUGGAAUGGGAUUCUGGGACAUGGUUCUGCCCUCCAUACCACCCCUGCAGUACUCUAGACUAGGGACACAGCCUUCACCCUACAUCCUAUCUGACUUCUCAUGGAGUUGAGAACAGCGGUGUACACUGAUACAUCAGAGGCCCAAUCCAUACAUGGUGGUUUGCCAACAACUGACAAGGGAAAGAUUUCAUGUAAAAAUCCAGAGUAGUCGUCUGUGUUUGGGUACUAGGACUAGGUGUCUUUCCACUGAACUACAUUCCCAACUUCAGCCCCUUCCCCCCUUCUUGAGACAAGGACUCCUAAGUGGCUGAGGAAGAAACCUAAGAUAAACCUUGAACUUGAGAUCCUCCUGCCUCAGCCGUCAUACAAACCAAGAAGGGCAGGUCUGUAUCUAAAGGCAUUAGUAGGCAAAGUCUCUUUACAUAAAGCCCCUGUUCUGGGCUAGCUACUGUCCCCAUAAGCUGGGGCAGCCUAGCCUAUACUGUGGGAAAGUCAAGUCUGUUGGGUCCAUAACAUCCUGUUACCUCCCAGAUGUAGUAAGUGGAGUAAGGCAGACACACGGGAGCCCCAGAAAUUACCUUGCCUGCACCCUAGAGUAAUAUAGUCCCUUCCAGGUUUCUAACUACUGUCUUUACUCGCUUGACAGUUCAAGGGUGAACUGUUCUCAGGCUAGAGGCUGGGUGUUCUCACCAUCAUUACUAUUCACAUUCAUUCACUUGCAGAAAUUUGCUCUCCAUCCACCACAGGGGUCCUAGGGAUCAGACUCCCUCUGCAGGCUUGAAGCUGCUGCCUUUACUAACUGAACCAACCAUCUUACCAGCCAUGGACUUUUUUUUUUUUUUUAAGAUUUCCAGUGUGUGUGUGUGUGUGUGUUGGGGGUUGUGGACAUGGAUAUGCACAUAUGAGUAUAGGUGCCUGUGGAGGCCAGAGGAAUAAGAUAGCCCUGAAGUGGGAAGUGCUGAACUGAGAAUCAAAUUCUGGCCCUUUUUAUGGAAGCAAGUGUUUUUGUUUGUUUGUUUGUUUGUUUUAACCUCUGAGCUCUUUGCUUUUUCAAGGCAUGGUUUCUCAGUGUUACGGCCCAGGCUUGUCCUGGAACUUGCUUUGUAGACCAGGCUAGCUUCGAACGCACAGAGCGCCAGGGCCAAAGGUGUGCUCUACCACACCCAGGUAAUCUCUCCAGUCUUGAAGGGCUCCAGAGUUUUAAGGCCAGCCAGCUUGAGUUAGGAAGACAGUCUUGAAAUAUGUAAAAAGAGGCCUGGGAUGUAGGUCAGUGGCAGAGUGCUUGCUAAGCAUGGUUGUUCAAUACAAAAGUUACUGGACUCUUCUCGGAACCCUACAGGCUUCCUCUAAUUUGGGAGCAGAAAACUUAAGUGCUCAGCUCUCUCCAUGAGGAGUCCCUUCAUUAAUUGACUGGCUGGGUUAUAAUUAGCAGCAGGCUGAUACUUCCUAUAAGGCAGUAAGGAACUGGGGCAGAGAAGACAGGAAGAAACUCCCAUGGGAAGCAUUGGAUUCCUAGGUAUGUGACAGUGGAGUAGAUGGACCCAGCUCCAGUCUUAGUGCUCACAGCUCCUGGGGUUCCCCCACAUCUAUAAUAUGGACCCACAGCCCAUGUUAGCACAGUCAGUAAGAGCACAGAAGGCUUCUCCUUGAGAGUAGUGGCUCAAGCAUACAGCUUGGCUGCUUCAUCCUGGCACCUUCACAGUUGUCUCUCAGUGUAGCCAAGAAGUUGGGACCCUAAUAGAGAUGGGAGCUUGGCUUUCAGGUCACACACAGAGUGUACAACAAGCCCCCCCCACCCCCACCCGACCUGUGUAUCAGCUCAUAGCACUGUCCAACAGGGGCAGGUGUGGUGCAUGCUAUGUGGGUCCCACCAAAUGCUAUCCACAUGCAAACCUCCAAGUUCCUGUUGUGCAGAGCUCUGCUAUAACCUCAUCAGCCCAUCAGGUACCUAGCUGGCCUCCAAGCCCCACUUGGCCCGUUCUCUUCUGUGGGCAAUGUACCAGGGUACAGGGGUACCCAGACAGCCUCCCAGGGGGAAUUAAAGGGCACUGGGAGAUGGAAUUACCCAUUUUCUUAUCCUCUCUUCCACUGCUUUAUUUAUCUACGUCUUGAUUCUACUCAGUUCCUAUUCCCAGCCCUCCACAGGUACCCACUUGGAUGUGAGGGAUGUAUCUAAUACAGAGGCUCUACAC
ensembl:antisense Gm4673 predicted gene 4673